rnacentral:rRNA from 1 species
UACGGAGGGUGCAAGCGUUAUCCGGAUUCACUGGGUUUAAAGGGUGCGUAGGCGGAUUGGUAAGUCCGUGGUGAAAUCUCUAAGCUUAACUUGGAAACUGCCAUGGAUACUAUUAGUCUUGAAUAUUGUGGAGGUUAGCGGAAUAUGUCAUGUAGCGGUGAAAUGCUUAGAUAUGACAUAGAACACCGAUAGCGAAGGCAGCUUGCUACACGAGUAUUGACACUGAGGCACGAAAGCGUGGGGAUCAAACAGG